rnacentral:rRNA from 1 species
AGAGUUUGAUCCUGGCUCAGAGCGAACGUUGGCGGCGUGCUUAAUACAUGCAAGUCGAGCGAGAAACACCGGCUUCGGUUGGUGGAGUAAAGCGGCGCACGGGUGAGUAAUGCGUAGACAACCUGCCUAAGGAAUGGGGACAACCCCCGGAAACGGAGGCUAAUUCCCAAUGGUGUCUUUGGACCGCAUGGUCCGAUGACUAAAGGGUUCACGAAAGUGUACCGUCCUUUGAGGGAUCUACGUCCUAUCAGGUAGUUGGUGAGGUAAUGGCUCACCAAGCCUAAGACGGGUAGCCGGACUGAGAGGUUGAUCGGCCACACUGGAACUGAGACACGGUCCAGACACCUACGGGUGGCAGCAGUAGGGAAUAUUGCACAAUGGGCGGAAGCCUGAUGCAGCGACGCCGCGUGAGGGAUUGAAGGCCUUCGGGUUGUAAACCUCUGUUUCUUGGGGAAGAACACUGACGGUACCCAGGGAGUAAGCACUGGCUAACCCCGUGCCAGCAGCUGCGGUAAUACGGGGAGUGCAAACGUUGCUCGGAUUUACUGGGCGUAGAGCGCAUGUAGGCGGAUUGGUAAAUGGGUUGUGAAAUGCUCCGGCCUACCCGGAGAACGGCAGUCCAAAAUGCCAGUCUGGAGGGUGUCAGAGG